rnacentral:rRNA from 1 species
GACGAACGCUGGCGGCGUGCUUAACACAUGCAAGUCGAACGGAAAGGCCCUGCUUUUGUGGGGUGCUCGAGUGGCGAACGGGUGAGUAACACGUGAGUAACCUGCCCUUGACUUUGGGAUAACUUCAGGAAACUGGGGCUAAUACCGGAUAGGAGCUCCUGCUGCAUGGUGGGGGUUGGAAAGUUUCGGCGGUUGGGGAUGGACUCGCGGCUUAUCAGCUUGUUGGUGGGGUAGUGGCUUACCAAGGCUUUGACGGGUAGCCGGCCUGAGAGGGUGACCGGCCACAUUGGGACUGAGAUACGGCCCAGACUCCUACGGGAGGCAGCAGUGGGGAAUAUUGCACAAUGGGCGGAAGCCUGAUGCAGCAACGCCGCGUUCGGGAUGACGGCCUUCGGUUUGUAAACCGCUUUCGCCUGUGACGAAGCGUGAGUGACGGUAAUGGGUAAAGAAGCACCGGCUAACUACGUG